UACGAAGGGGGCUAGCGUUGCUCGGAAUCACUGGGCGUAAAGCGCACGUAGGCGGCUUUUUAAGUCAGGGGUGAAAUCCUGGAGCUCAACUCCAGAACUGCCUUUGAUACUGAGAAGCUUGAGUCCGGGAGAGGUGAGUGGAACUGCGAGUGUAGAGGUGAAAUUCGUAGAUAUUCGCAAGAACACCAGUGGCGAAGGCGGCUUACUGGUCCGGAUCUGACGCUGAGGCGCGAAAGCGUGGGGGAGCAAAC
rnacentral:rRNA from 1 species